rnacentral:misc_RNA from 1 species
GAUGAAGAACGUAGUGAAAUGCGAUACGUAAUGUGAAUUGCAGAAUUCAGUGAAUCAUCGAAUCUUUGAACGCACCUUGCGCCCUUUGGCUAUUCCGAAGGGCAUGCCUGUUUGAGUAUCAUGAACACCUCAACUCUCAUGGUUUGCCAUGAUGAGCUUGGACUUUGGGGGUCUUGCCGGCCUAUGGGUCGGCUCCUCUCAAAUUAAUCAGCUUGCCAGUGUUUGGUGGCAUCACAGGUGUGAUAACUAUCUACGCUUGUGGUUUUCCAUCAGGUAACCUUCAGUGAUGGAGGUUCGCUGGGGCUCAUAAAUGUCUCUCCUCAGUGAGGACAGCUUUUUUGAACGUUUGAUCUCAAAUCAGGUAGGACUACCCGCUGAACUUAAGCAUAUCAAUAAGCGGAGGA